AUGAGGUACUCAAUCGAGCCGGGUUUAAAUUUGGAUGAAGUAGCAGAACAGAAUAGACCAGUACUUGACGAAGAUGAUGAAGAUGCUUUCAUCGUCGAGGAGAUUGGGGAUUCUUCGGAUGAACGACAAGUAAAGCCAAUCAGGACAUUGGAAUCCAGGAAGGGGAUGGUGUUCGAUAGUGAGGAUGAUGCUGUCAGGUUCUACAAAGGUUAUGCCAAAAAGAAGGGCUUUGGUGUGAUGAGAAGGACGACUAGAUACGGAGAAGAUAACAUGGUUACUUAUUUUACUCUCGCUUGUAGCAGACAAGGAAAGACUCAAUGCUCAGAAAAGAACUCAUUUAUGCCUAAUCCGUCGACAAGGAUGCAAUGCCCAGCUAAGAGUAAUUUCUCCCGCCGUGAGGAGAAGUUUUGUAUUACGUCUCUUACGCUUGACCACAAUCAUCCUAUAAGUCCAAGCAAAUCCAGAUUUUUUAGAUGCCACAAGAAGUUGGACUUGCAUUCAAAGAGAAGGCUAGAAUUGAAUGAUCAAGCAGGAAUCCGUAUGAACAAGAAUUUUGGUUCUCUUGUUAUGGAAGCUGGCGGAUAUGGAAAUCUUGAGUUUGGUGAAAAGGAAUGUAGGAAUGCAAGAGAAAAGAAGGCUGCAACUUGGUGCUGGAGAUGCACAUGUUGUUUAUCAAUAUUUUCUUCGUAUGCAAUCAAAAGAUCCAGACUUUUUCCAUGUUAUGGAUGUGGCUGA
rnacentral:rRNA from 1 species